CACACUCAGAUAAGAUAAUCGCAUGCAUCAGCUAAACUCGAACUCUAAAUACCUGCAGAAAAAAAAAAAACUAUUACUCGAUCAAUUUUAACUUAUAGGUCGUUCGACUAUUUACAUCAAACUUUAGAUGGUUUGACCAUGUAACAAAAAUUAAUAUUUUUGUAAAUUUUUUUUUCUAAAUAAAAUUAAUAUAGAAUUAUUUUCAUUCAAAAAAAAUUAUAUUAAUUUUAAAUAAAUAGUCAAACCUCCUAAAAAUAUGUGUAUAUAACCGUAUAUGUUCAUAUUUAAUUUUUAUCUAUUUUUGACCAAAAAUCUUAUCUUUUUCCCUUACUUAUAAAAUUUAACCGAAAUCCAAAAUUUUUCUUAAUUUUUGAAAGUCAAUCGGGACCGAAGUUCAACAGGUCCCUUGUUCCGCUACUUGCAGUUACAGGGACACACUUGCUUAUUCGACAACGUGGAAAAGCAUCUUAUUUCUUUUUCCCAAAGCUAAACCUUUUGUCAAUUCUGAUCCAGAGCUCUUUAUACCCGCCUUUACUUGGCCACCUUUCUUUCCUUUUCUCCAAACUAUUAAACGCCUUGACACAUAUUCUUUUGUUUUCCACACAAACUUCUUUGUUCCAACACACAAGGGGAGGUCAAGAAUGUGUCUCGCGCCUUCUUAUUUGCUUCCCGAAGGGACCUUGGCGACGCGAUGGCAUAGGCACGUUUUACGGGCCCCUGCCAUCGUGGAAACUAGGAGGCAGGGCUUACCAGGACCCGUGGUUCCAGCGACAGACAGCAAGCUGCAGCAGUGUAUAUGUUCUCCUACGACGCAUCCAGGGUCAUUUCGCUGCAGGUACCAUCAUGCUGAGUAUGUAUGGGGAUGUCGCAACUCGCAAGCUGUGAAGUUAUCCUGAAAUUAAAUUGAAUAAAAAGGUCAGAUGUUAAUAAUUUUAAUAAAGCCUGCUCUCUGUUUCUGUGUUUCGGUGAGUGUCGAUGUAUAUUUCCCGGAACCGCGGAUUAAUCAGAGAUAUAUGAAAAGCAGAUUCUGAAUGAAUGAAAAGUAUGUGUUUAUUCAUUUAUUUUUCAGGUGCUUUCUGAAGUGUGUGGAAAAUAAAAAUCAAUAUCCGACAAUUGCAGGUAGAGCGGUAUCAUAGCCAUGAUAAUCUUUACCUGCAAUGAUGCACAAGUGCCAAUUUAUAUAUUUAUGAUGUAAAAAACUGAUGUCUCAUAAACGUGAAAUUAUUAGAUACUUCAAACAUGCUCUGGAAAUGAAUUCUAUGCCAGAAGCAAGCCAAAUUUAAAAACUUCAGAUAUAUUUAGUAUCCAUGAGACUGGCCUAAUAUGUAUACUUUUGUAAGGACUGCAGAUAAAACUGCAUGACUAGAGUGAGAGUAAUUGUAAUAGUCGAAGUGAAAUGCCAGAUAGUAAUUGGUAAAGGAAAUCAAGAAAGCAUAUUCCACGGUGGCUGAAACCCGGAAUUAAUUUCAGGUGCUAUCCAAUUAUUAGUAGACAAUUUGCUGGAGAUGUAAAGUAGUUCCGCAUAGAUGCUACCGAGUGUGAAUUCAAAUACAAAGAAUCCAGCUUUGCAGUGUUUUUCAAGGCUGUUGGAGGACCUGUUAUGUGUACAGAUGUCAGUAACUACUAGUAGAUUUCAUUGAAAUGAACAAUCAAUUAUCAGCUACAGAGCGAGGAAGGAUUGAAACCACCGCUGAACAAAACUUCCUUGGCAACCGAGAACUAGUUAACAACUAAGUUUAAGCUGAACCCAAUAAUUGUGUAUUUUCUCCGUUCAGAUUACCAUCAGAAAAAGCUACUCAAAUCAUAACGUGAUGAUCGUAUAUUACUUCAAGAGGUGCUACUCUGAUCGAAAGCUAAAAUUAUAAGCAAAACCCUCAUCUUUGCAACUUUACCAACAUUUAACAGACUGAGUAUGCCUUUCAAUCACAAUAAUAAAACUGAGAGUUGCAGCCAACCGACAGCUAAAGAGCUGAUGCCACACAAGGACUGUGCAAUACCUAAUUAACUCCCCAUUUUGGCUGAGAGCACGCAAAGAGUUGUUCUUGGACUCCUACAAAAAAUUAUUUAUUACUCCCUCCGUUUCAAAUUAGAUGUCCACUUUAAAAAAUUCACACAGUUUAAGAAAAGUGGUUAUUCACAUAUUAAUUGCAUUAAAUGAUCAAAAUAUGUGGGGUGAGAUUGAUCUCGGAAAUAGGAAUAAGAGAUAUGUGGAGUAGAAUUGACUUUGGAAAUAUGAUUUUGCAUUGAAAGUUGAAGUGAACAAGUAAUUUGAAACAAAAAAAUUUCUUCAAAGUGGACAUGUAAAUUGAAACGGAGGGAGUACAAUUUUUCUUUUUUAUCUUUGCAACAUGACCUGCUUAAGCAGAGUUAAGCAAAUCAUUAAUCACAAACUAAUGCUCAUAUUACCAUUGUCAAACAACCAUCGUCAAACACAGCUAUCAAAAAUAUUCUUUAAAUGUUAGCUUUAUGACUCACUUAAUGGCCCAAACAUUACAUCAAAACAAUUGGUCCAGACCUCAACAUUUUUAUGUACUUUGAAAGCAUUUCCAUAUUAUUAGUUUAUUCCUGUGGUGAUGAAUCAAUUGUUGUUACCUGUUACCACAUAAACUCAUUCUUUUUUCUUCUUCUCUUGAAUAAAGAAACUAAAAUUUUAAUGUGUUGAUUUUUUCCUGCCAUACAUUGUGGAAAUUUAAAAAUUGUAACAAAUAAUAAAGUCAAAUGAUACUACUAUUCUGUAGGAUGAUGAUAUAUAAGUUCCCAUCAUCUUGGACCAUUCAAAUCUAAUUAAAAUGAAUUUGUUUGGAGGAUGGAAUAUAAAAUUUGAAAUAUAUAAAUAUUCAAUGGACCAUAAACAUAUAAACAUAUAUAGGUGUGACUAUAAAAUGAAGGGUGGGAUUUGUUAUAUAGACUACCAUCUAGAAGGUUAAAAAUAAAACUACUAGAAAUGAACCUUAUAAUAUGAUUGAUAAUACAACCUUCUAGAUAAUUUUAGUUACAUAAAGAUCAAUAUUAAUAUUUUCUUAAUAAUACAGUAUUAAUUUUUCUUUUGUUUAUAUUUUAUAUUUAAGAAUAUUUUCUUAUCCUGGAUGAACAUGGCACAGUGACCAAUGUAAACAGUGUCCAGAAAACCUGCUUAUCUUGUUCAUGCAUACAAUCAUGUGUAUGAUUCACUUUCAAUAAUGAAGAAAUCAAGCCUAUGAUAUGGCCAUGCCGGUGGAUGGUGUACUGGUUGUGUUUCGAGAUUAGUCGAGAUGCACGUAAACUGAUCCUGACAAUCGGCAUAACAAAUUGUAAAAAUUUAAAGAGCGUAUGAUCGCAUAUUUUAAUACACAACAUUAAAAAGUCACCAGUAUCAUACAGAGAUCACACAAGAGAUUACAGUUUACAUAUGUUUUCUUUUUUUUGACAAUACCAAAUGCAAAAGACAACAAUAUUUCACGAACCCGAAGAACAACAUAAUACCGGUCUAUAAAAAUCAGUUAACUCGGCCGAGUACUCGGACUCCGGAACCACAUACACAUAACAACUAAGUGGAGGACUCCACAGGCUUAGGAGAAAGAGUAGCAUCAUUUCUCGGAGUUGGUGGCAUGGAGUUGGAUCUCUUGAACCAUCCAACUCCGCUAUUAGAUCGAUGGUACUUGCACCUAAACGAGCCUUGAUGCGUUGUUGGCGAGCACAGACACUGCCCCGGACCUCGUGGUGAUCCGGACGCUGAACCUCCCCCUCUAGGAGACGAAGAAUUAGUCGUCGUCGUUGUCAUCGUCGUCGUCGUUACAUUGAUUUUCUCUUGAGAUGCCAUGUACGAUAUUUUUAGAGAAAUAUAAUUUAUUUUUUUUGAACCAAAUAUUUUUGUAUAAAUGGAUAGAAGGGGGAGGAAAUGAUUUGUGUUUAUAUAGUGGGAAGGGCAGGGCUAGAGGAGUGGAGGAGGAGAAUAAAUUGAGUAUGGUUUUGUGUAUUAUAAUGAAGAGAUAAUAUAAAUUGUAAGUGGAUGUACACCCAUCAUAUUUAUCUAAAAAAAGGGAGAGAUGAGAAAGAAGCAAAUGGUGAGCUCUGAUUUGCUGUUGUUUUUGGCUGGUGUGCAACUAACUCAAUACUAGGAUGUUAGUUAGCAGGAGUGGGUGGUAAUUGACUUCUUGCUGCAGCUGCUGUAAUAGUAAAAUCCCCGUUGUUCCCGGUGUAUUUUAUUCUGGUUAAUGAAAGUGUUUUUUUUUAGGAAAAAAAAAUUCUGCAUGAAUGAAAUUUAGAAUGUUCGAAAUAUAUAAUAAACAUGGAUUCGAAAAGUAUACUAAAAUUGUUAAUUUUUUAAAAAUGAAUGGCUUGAAAACUCAUCUUUGUGGUCGAGAAUUGGAUUCCGAGACUUUUGUCAACUCAUUUUUGAGUCAAACAUCAUAAAUUGGAAUUCGAGAUUUUUGUCUAACACUAAAUUCUUGGAUCAUUAAAAAUUCAUAUUUAAAUCAUAUAUUGGUGGAAGUUGAAUUUUAGAUUUUUGCCUACUCAUAGGUGACGGAAAUUGAACUCAACUUUAAAUUUUUGUCCACUCAUUUUUGUAUCGGGUGUCAGAAAAUCGAACUCGAGAUUUUUCCAUUUAAUAUCAUAUUAACUGAACUUUUUUGUGAAAUAAUCCUGAAAUUGAACUUAACAUUUUUAUCAAACACUGUUUGAUAAAAAUGUUAAGUUACUGUUUGAUAAAAAUGUUAAGUUCGAUUUUUAGGGAAUGGGAAUGCGGGUUUGGGAAUGGUACUUCAAAAAGUGUUAAAGAAAUCAUUUAACCAUUGAAUGGAAAUAUGAUUCUCAUUUCCUACCAUAACAUACUAAUCCAAACACAAUCUAGAAAUUUCGAUUCCCACUAACUGAAAUCAUACGUUAUGAACCAAACACCCUCAUUAUAUUCUACCGAAUUUCCCUCAACAAGUCUAUGUUGGCAAGCGUCCAUGGUUUCACAAGUGGAGACCAGUAAAAUAGUUUUAUCAAUCAAGAAAUCAUAGAUUAAUAAUACACUAAAAUAAACCAGAAGAAAGUUGAUUAAGAUUGGAUCCACAGUUGAAACAGAGGAAUGUGGGACAGAAUUAACAUAUGCUGCUACUACACAUGCAAAUAUGAAAUUAUAAACUACAGAGCUGUUUUGUCAAGCACGAUCAGGCCAGAUUCAUCUAGAUCUCUACGACUUGUUUUAUAGUUUUUGGUUUUAAGUAAAUAAUUAAAGCCUCAAGAAGAAAGCUGAAAAAUUCAAGCACAUGACAAGAUGGAAUGAGGUUUCCAUGUGGGGGCAUCAUUCCUUGGCUGCAUUUCCACGUACUAAGAUUCUCUAAUCGAGUUUACAAAUUUAUCACUGCACCGUAGUUGUAAAUUCGAGUUGAGUACACGUAAAUUAUUGACUUGUAAAGAUAUCAGCUCAUCAAAGUUUAUGUGAUAAUAGGAUACUAUAGUUAUAUCAUUUUUCUAUUUUGGAAUACACAUCCUCAUAGCAUCCGUGACUUGUGCUUAUAAAGAUAUCGGCUCAUCAAAGUUUCUGAGAUAACAAGAUACUAUAUUUAUACCGUUUUUUUAUUUUGGAAUACACAUCCUCG
rnacentral:lncRNA from 1 species